UACAGAGGUCUCAAGCGUUGUUCGGAUUCAUUGGGCGUAAAGGGUGCGUAGGCGGCGCGGUAAGUCGGGUGUGAAAUCUCGGAGCUUAACUCCGAAACUGCAUUCGAUACUGCCGUGCUUGAGGACUGGAGAGGAGACUGGAAUUUACGGUGUAGCGGUGAAAUGCGCAGAUAUCAGGAAGAACACCCGUGGCUAAGGCGGCUCUCUAGUACGGUACUGACGCUGAGACGCGAAAGCGUGGGGAGCAAACAGG
rnacentral:rRNA from 1 species